rnacentral:rRNA from 1 species
CAGCAGCCACGGUAACACGAAGGGGGCUAGCGUUGCUCGGAAUGACUGGGCGUAAAGGGCGCGUAGGCGGCGAUCAAAGUCAGGCGUGAAAUUCCUGGGCUCAACCUGGGGGCUGCGCUUGAUACUUGGUUGCUUGAGUGGGGAAGAGGGUCGUGGAAUUCCCAGUGUAGAGGUGAAAUUCGUAGAUAUUGGGAAGAACACCGGUGGCGAAGGCGGCGACCUGGUCCUUGACUGACGCUGAGGCGCGAAAGCGUGGGGAGCAAGCAGGAUUAGAUACCCCUGUAGUCCCUGUCUCUUAUAC